UCUCGAGGCUCUGCUUUUGUUUGACUUGGUGGCUGUUUAGUUAUACUAGUGCCUUUUUGUGUAUACAGCGUCCUUGUGGAUCCUUCCCCAUCUCUGUAGCUGGCGUCGCUUCGCAGCUGGUAGUUGCUGCUACUUUCACCCUAGUGCUUUUGCCCUCUGCAGUGCAAACUUGCUGGAGCUGAGGCCUGCAGUGGAGGGUCUGCUAUCUUCCUGGUGGUGUUCCCCUUCUGGUGUGCUACUUACAUCACGGGUGUUUCAGACUUGACCUGGCGUGUGUGUGUGUGUGUGCGCGUGGACACUUUUGCAGUGGUGUGACCUUCUCCUGGACGCCCCCUCACUAGUUAGCCGGUCCCCUCACUGGUAAGCCUCAGUUCCUGUUGUCUGUCGCCCCCCUUUGUGUGUGUGUGGUGUGCUUGAGCUACAUCAGC